rnacentral:rRNA from 1 species
UCGACCUGAGUUUAGGUAAGAAUACGGGCCGAAUUUAAGCAUAUUAAUAAGCCCAGGAAAAGAAAACAACUGUGAUUCCCUUAGUAAUGGCGAAUGAAACGGGAAUAGGCCAUCGCGUAACCGCAGGUCAUCUUGGCCUCGUGGAAUGUCGCGUUUGGGAGAGUCUCCUCACGGUCUGGCGGGCAAGUCAAAGUCCAACUUGACAGUGGCCACAGCCCAUAGAGGGUGAUAGGCCCGUAAGGCUGCCUGCUGAUUGUGGCGACUUUUCCCUCGAGUCGGGUUGCUUGGGAGUGCAGCCCAAAGUGCGAGGUAAACUCCUCGUAAGCCUAAAUAUUACCCUGAGACCGAUAGCAAACAAGUACGGUGACGGAAGAUUGAAAAGAACUUUGAAGAGAGAGUUCAAUAGUACGUGAAACUGUGUGGUGGUAAACGGAGGGGUUCUCGAAGUUUCUGUAGGGUACUCAGCCUUGGAGUUGGGCUGUCUGGUGGUAUCGGAUCAGCAAUGACCGUGCCGCUAGUCAGGCUUGGCUCACGGGUGCAUUUCCCCUGCAGUUUACGGCAGGAACUGUUUAGCGCAGACCUAAGGCUCUGGGUGAAGUUGGAGGCCUAGCUUUCAGCCCUGGAUGUUCUGGCUUUGCACUAGACAGGUACUUGAGGAGACUCGUAUA